GUAGGUGAACCUGCGGAAGGAUCAUUACAAAUCCAUCACGUCCCGCUUUUGCGAGACCACCGUUGAACCGUUCCGUCAGGCGGUGCGCGCCUCCAGGACGACCCUGCGUCGUCCUGGGCCCAGGCCGCACGCUGACACCACAAUCACCAAACUAGUCAUCACAUGUUGUUCAAUUGUACGAGCGGCAGGUUGCGCUUGCGCUCCCAUCUCAUUCCUCUUACGAGAGUGCGUGCGACAGGGACGCACGCAG
rnacentral:misc_RNA from 1 species